rnacentral:rRNA from 1 species
UACGUAGGGUGCGAGCGUUGUCCGGAAUUAUUGGGCGUAAAGAGCUCGUAGGCGGCUUGUCGCGUCGACUGUGAAAUCCCGCGGCUCAACUGCGGGUCUGCAGUCGAUACGGGCAGGCUAGAGUUCGGGAGGGGAGAAUGGAAUUCCCGGUGUAGCGGUGAAAUGCGUAGAUAUCGGGAGGAACGCCGGUGGCGAAAGCGAUUCUCCUGGCCCGUUCCUGACACUGAUGCGCGAAAGCUAGGGGAGCAAACAGG